CCGGUUGAUCCUGCCGGGGGUCACUGCUAUUGGGAUUCGACUAAGCCAUGCGAGUCGAGAGGGUUCGGCCCUCGGCGAACUGCUCAGUAACACGUGGAUAAUUUGCCCUUAGGUGGGGGAUAACCUCGGGAAACUGAGAAUAAUACUCCAUAGAUCUAGGAUGCUGGAAUGCACUUAGAUUAAAAGCUCCGGCGCCUAAGGAUAAGUCUGCGGACUAUCAGGUUGUAGUCAGGGUAAAGACCUGACUAGCCUACAACGGAUACGGGUUGUGAGAGCAAUAACCCGGAGACGAUAUCUGAGACACGAUAUCGGGCCCUACGGGGCGCAGCAGGCGCGAAACCUUCGCACUGUGCGAAAGCGCGAUGAGGGAAUCCCAAGUGCUUGCUCGUAAGAGUAAGCUGUUUUUACGUCUAAAAAGCAUAGAGAGUAAGGGCUGGGUAAGACGGGUGCCAGCCGCCGCGGUAAUACCUGCAGCUCAAGUGGUGAUCAUUAUUAUUGGGCCUAAAACGUCCGUAGCCGGUUUGGUAAAUGCCUGGGUAAAUCGUGUAGCUUAACUAUACGAAUUCCGGGUAGACUGCCAAACUUGAGACCGGGAGAGGCUAGAGGUACUCCUGGGGUAGAGGUGAAAUUCUGUAAUCCUA
rnacentral:rRNA from 1 species